UACAGAGGGUGCAAGCGUUGUUCGGAAUUAUUGGGCGUAAAGGGCGCGUAGGCGGUGCCACAAGUCACCUGUGAAAUCUCCGGGCUUAACUCGGAGCCUGCAGGCGAAACUGUGGUGCUGGAGUGUGGGAGAGGUGCGUGGAAUUCUCGGUGUAGCGGUGAAAUGCGUAGAUAUCGAGAGGAACACCUGCGGCGAAGGCGGGUUGCUGGGCUGACACUGACGCUGAUGCGCGAAAGCUAGGGGAGCGAACGGG
rnacentral:rRNA from 1 species